rnacentral:rRNA from 1 species
UUGCAUAUCCCAUUAGCGGAGGAAAAGAAACCAACAGGGAUUGCUCUAGUAACGGCGAGUGAACAAGCAAAAGCUCAGUUUUGAAAGCCUACUUUGUAGGCAUUGUAUUCUGAAGCCUAGAUUCUGGGAAACGGUGUUUAAGUCUUCUGGAAAGGAGCGCCACGGAGGGUGAUAGCCCCGUACGGCACUGACCCCAUUGUAGUUUCUAGGCGUGGAGUCGAGUUGUUUGGGAAUGCAGCUCAAAUGGGAGGUAUGCUCCUUCUAAAGCUAAAUAUUUGCGAGAGACCGAUAGCGAACAAGUACUGUGAAGGAAAGAUGAAAAGAACUUUGAAAAGAGAGUGAAAUAGGACGUGAAAUUGUUGAAAUGGAAGGGUAGGCUGCUAACCAUGUAGGACCGUGUCUGAGGGGAAGAUAAAAGCUACGGAAUGUGACUCUUCGGAGUGUUAUAGCCGUGGUCAAUGUUCCCACUUAGGCGCGAGGAUCUCAGGUGUCACUAAUU